rnacentral:rRNA from 1 species
CGGUCGAAUAACACGUAGCCGAAUCUGCCCUGCACUCUGGGACAAGCCCUGGAAACGGGGUCUAAUACCGGAUAUGACCUUCCUCCGCAUGGGGGUUGGUGUAAAGCUCCGGCGGUGCAGGAUGAGCCCGCGGCCUAUCAGCUUGUUGGUGGGGUAAUGGCCUACCAAGGCGACGACGGGUAGCCGGCCUGAGAGGGCGACCGGCCACACUGGGACUGAGACACGGCCCAGACUCCUACGGGAGGCAGCAGUGGGGAAUAUUGCACAAUGGGCGAAAGCCUGAUGCAGCGACGCCGCGUGAGGGAUGACGGCCUUCGGGUUGUAAACCUCUUUCAGCAGGGAAGAAGCGCAAGUGACGGUACCUGCAGAAGAAGCACCGGCUAACUACGUGCCAGCAGCCGCGGUAAUACGUAGGGUGCGAGCGUUGUCCGGAAUUAUUGGGCGUAAAGAGCUCGUAGGCGGCCUGUCGCGUCGGAUGUGAAAGCCCGGGGCUUAACCCCGGGUCUGCAUUCGAUACGGGCAGGCUAGAGUGUGGUAGGGGAGAUCGGAAUUCCUGGUGUAGCGGUGAAAUGCGCAGAUAUCAGGAGGAACACCGGUGGCGAAGGCGGAUCUCUGGGCCAUUACUGACGCUGAGGAGCGAAAGCGUGGGGAGCGAACAGGAUUAGAUACCCUGGUAGUCCACGCCGUAAACGUUGGGAACUAGGUGUUGGCGACAUUCCACGUCGUCGGUGCCGCAGCUAACGCAUUAAGUUCCCCGCCUGGGGAGUACGGGCCGCAAGGCUAAAACUCAAAGGGAAAUUGACGGGGGGCCCGCACAAGCCAGCCGGGAAGCAUGGUAAUUCGACGCAACGCGAAGAACCUUACCAAGGCUUGACAUAUACCGGAAACGGCUAGAGAUAGUCGCCCCCUUGUGGUCGGUAUACAGGUGGUGCAUGGUUGUCGUCAGCUCGUGUCGUGAGAUGUUGGGUUAAGUCCCGCAACGAGCGCAACCCUUGUUCUGUGUUGCCAGCAUGCCUUUCGGGGUGAUGGGGACUCACAGGAGACUGCCGGGGUCAACUCGGAGGAAGGUGGGGACGACGUCAAAUCAUCAUGCCCCUUAUGUCUUGGGCUGCACACGUGCUACAAUGGUCGGUACAAAGGGCUGCGAUGCCGCGAGGCGGAGCGAAUCCCAAAAAGCCGGCCUCAGUUCGGAUUGGGGUCUGCAACUCGACCCCAUGAAGUUGGAGUUGCUAGUAAUCGCAGAUCAGCAU